AGUAUAACUUUAAAGUGGAGC
rnacentral:misc_RNA from 1 species